AAUAUGAAGCUACAGCUAUGACACCUGUCGAGGGAGAAUUAACGGAAGAACUGAUGGACAAUAAUCAUACAAUUGGAGGAACUGAAGCCAGUGUCACGAGUAUUUCAACUGGCGAAGAGUUGACUGCGGAACAGGAAGACAAAAAAACUGAUACACGAAAAGAACCUAUCGCCGAGGAUAAGGUGAAACCGGAAAUGAGGAAAUCGAAAACAACCACAGAGG